GCUGAAAAGAUGUAAAGGAAGCAGUCAUCCCUGUGGUGUUUCUGGAGAGGUAUUCCUUCAGAAAUGGAGAAGACAGAAAGCUGCAGAGGCAGACAUUUGCAGCAGAUUGUUUGCAGAUAAUGCUGUUCUUCUUUUUCAGAAGUUUUUUAAGAGCCAACCCUCACAAACCUUCCUAAAAACUAAAAGAGCUAUUACUGAGUCUCAGCGAAUCUUGCCAUGAUCAGCUCUUACCAGAGAAGGAAGACCAAGGAAAUUAUUUGCUCAGGAUGAGGAAUGAAGACGGCCAUCUUGAGCCCAAACAAAGACAGAAGUCCACUGAUGAUCUCUUCAGCCAAAUGACGGGUUUUGACCAAGUGAUGCUCUUGAAAGGAGUGAAAGAAGAGGAUGUGGUAAAUUGUCUUCAGAGAAAAAGCUUCUCAAAAGGUCUUAAAACAGCUUGAAAAAU